ACUCGAGCUCGGCCCGGGGCCCAGUAGUACCUGAGUCGCCCCCCAUCUGGGACCCUGAGGACCAGACCCAGAAUGCUCGCUGGGCGGCUGGCGUGAAACCGAGACGACGCCGACCGAGGAUUCAUGAGGGUUCGGGCGCGCGUCGAACACUAAAGGAUAGCAAAGAGCUCUCGUUACAAUGUGGUUUAAACCAAAAGGCCUUACGGGUGGGAAGAUGGGACAAGACCUGUCCCUGUGUGGAUCGAGCAUUAUGGCGGUGCUCCAGCAUCUCGUCACCAAUCCUAAGGAAUUCAGCUGCCUCCCAGGGUGAACGCAGCUUGUUCCUCUUGGAAUGAUUUUCCUGGGGAGGGAGAUGGCAACCCAGCAAGCGGCACAGUUGGUUCUUGUGAUGGUGUGCUCUUCCCUCACCCACAUGUCACUGUCAGAUGAUUUGAAUGAUAAUGCUGAUUCUCUGUGAGGUUGUUCCCAUGGUGUUGUAUACGUCUGUCUUAUAGUAAGUUACUUCUCCCAGUGUUGUGGUAAAUUAGGUUAUAUGUGAGCCUGGAUAACUAUCUGGGGAGGGGUUUGUUGUAAAAGCCCUGAUUGAUCCAUGUAACUUUUUGGUUUCUUUUGCUCCUUAUAGUGAUGUUUCUUGACCUUUUAUCUUUCUUUUUUUUAAAUAUUUACUCUUUAUUUGGCUUCGUCGGGUCUUAGUUGUGGCACACAGGCUCUAGAGCACUCGGGCUUAGUUGCCCUGCAGCAUGUGGGAUCUCAGUUCCCCUACCAGGGAUCAAACCAUUGUCCCCUGCAUUGGAAGGCGGAUUCUCAACACUGGACCACCAGGGAAGUCCCCUAUUUUAUCUUUCUUGAUUUCCUAGAUGCCUCUUGACCUGCUCAGGGUCAAACUCCUGGAAAGAGUUGAGAGCGGUGAGUACUUGUAACCUUGCUGGUUGUAGCUUGUUUCCAGUGCCAGUGAGGAGAGCAAGCGUUCUGUCUUACCCCUGUUCUAGCCCCAGAGCCAGUAAUGGUGAACCCACUGGGGCUAACUGGGAGAGGGGAUGAAAGCUUGUUCCAUAAGGAAGUGUCUGAGGUGCAGCAAAUGCCUGAGGAUAUCAUUUGCUUAGCUUUUCUCGGUUUAUCCAUUAACCCUAGCUAGAAUAAUUCUGGCUAUUUUGCUAAUUACAUGAUCUUCUCAUUCAGAAGCAGCUUGUUCCUUGUUCCUGUGUACUCCUGGAAAGCCUCCAGAGUUGAAAGGUACCAUUGGCAGUUACCUGCUUGUUUGCUCAAAGGUCCAGCUCCUUGUCUGGAGCCUGAGAAUGAAUUGAGGGGAAAGGAGUAAGCCAUAUUUCUGUUCAACUCCAGCCUGAAGUUAAGAGGUCUGAAGAAAGAACAAAGCACACAUAAUGGAGUCCAACUCUCGAAGGAUAUCAAAAAUGGAAUUUUCUUAUACAACCUACCUGUUCAAAUUAGCAUACAAUCAUUUCAGCCUUUCUAAAUAAAACUUUGUUUUUUUAA